rnacentral:rRNA from 1 species
UACGUAGGGUGCAAGCGUUGUCCGGAAUUAUUGGGCGUAAAGAGCUCGUAGGCGGUCUGUCGCGUCUGCUGUGAAAACUCAGGGCUUAACCCUGAGCUUGCAGUGGGUACGGGCAGACUAGAGUGCGGUAGGGGAGACUGGAAUUCCUGGUGUAGCGGUGAAAUGCGCAGAUAUUAGGAGGAACACCGGUGGCGAAGGCGGGGUCUCUGGGCCGAUACUGACGCUGAGGAGCGAAAGCGUGGGGAGCGAACAGG